rnacentral:rRNA from 1 species
GCGGUGGAUGAUGUGGUUAAUUCGAUGCAACGCGAAAACCUUACCACCUUUGACAUGUACGGAAUCCUUUAGAGAUAGAGGAGUGCUCGAAAGAGAGCCGUAACACAGGUGCUGCAUGGCUGUCGUCAGCUCGUGUCGUGAGAUGUUGGGUUAAGUCCCGCAACGAGCGCAACCCUUGUCAUUAGUUGCUACAUUCAGUUGGGCACUCUAAUGAGACUGCCGGUGACAAACCGGAGGAAGGUGGGGAUGACGUCAAGUCCUCAUGGCCCUUAUAGGUGGGGCUACACACGUCAUACAAUGGAUGGUACAAAGGGUCGCCAACCCGCGAGGGGGAGCCAAUCCCAUAAAGCCAUUCGUAGUCCGGAUCGCAGUCUGCAACUCGACUGCGUGAAGUCGGAAUCGCUAGUAAUCGUGGAUCAGAAUGUCACGGUGAAUACGUUCCCGGGUCUU